UCUUCCUCUGCCCAGAUUUCAUCAACCCCAACAGGGCCAAAAUAAUGCAUCUAACUCCAAAGCAACCAAAAGAAGUCUCACUUCCCAGCAUGGGAUCGAUCAACCACUUGGCAACAAUCCCCUCCACUUUGAAGCUUUAGGGUGUUGUUGCAACCUUGGAUAACCAGUAGCUAUUCCUUUCUACUUCUGCAAAUCUUCUUCAAAUUUCCAGCUUCAAACCAACACCCCUCCUCUAUGCCUUUUAAUUUCCAGAUUAUCCAUAAACAACAGCAAAUCUGCAUCAACCAAACAACCUGCAAGUUCCAUUUCACCUAGUCCACCUAGCUCCUUAUCCCUCCAACUCCAGCCACAAUCUUUGAACCAUAUUGAGAGUUGAGACUUCAUCUUCCAGAUUGGAAUCAGUCUCAUAGCAGCAGCCACAAUCUACACUUUAUAAGCUUUGAUUGCAGCUGCAAGUCCUAUUUCCCUUAUUCCAUACUUUAGAAGACAGAGGUCCAUAGACUCAUAUUUAUCUUCUUCACUCCCAGCUUUAACCUGCAGUUUUGAUCUCAGAAUCUCCCAAGCUGCCACUAUGCUUCAAGCUUCCCAAAUUUCCAAUCAUUUUUAGACAUGAGGCCUCAUCUCCCAGGAUGGGAUCACCCACAUCCCUCCACCCUUAGAGCUUUAGAUUGCUUCUUCAUCCCAGUAUCUAAAGGGCCUUUUUCUGCAAUGACAGAGCCCUCAACCUGCUGCUGUUCUUCAUAACCACCAAAUUAGGAUGGUGUUGGCAUACCGACUGGAUUGGAUGAAUUUUCCGACUUCGUGGCUACCAGAAUUCAUAGCAUCCAGGACAAAGAUGAGGGUGGACCUUCAAACAAACGGUCCCUAUUUUCAGAUGGAGAAGACAGGGCCAGCGAGUUUGACCUCGCCAAGAAGAGGAGAAUUGCAGAGGAUCCUGAAACUAAUAGUGGGAGAAUUGCCAAUAUAUUGGAAGAGUUAGUCAAAAACUCAAAGGAGCAUAUACAAUUGGAAAAGGAGAGGCUGCAAUUGGAAAAGGAGAGGCUGGUAUUGGAGAAGCAGUGGCGAGAGCAGCAGGAACAAAAAAGUGCUGGGCAGGAUGCUGUAGUCACUGCUGCAAUUGGAAAAGGAGAGGCUGGUAUUGGAGAAGCAGUGGCGAGAGCAGCAGGAACAAAAAAGUGCUGGGCAGGAUGCUGUAGUCACUGCUGCUCUGAAACUAAUUCAGGAGAGAACGAGGCAUGAGUAGGUACUACUGCUGUUCUGUAGCAACUUAGGAGGUUUUUUGCACAAAUUGUUACAGCUGACAAAUAUGUUUCGACUACUUUUCCCCUUCCUUCACCUUGAACACUCUUUUGUUGCAUUACCAUAAAGAACCAGAGCAUUAUAAGCACAGUUUAUGAUGUUACUCCAUAUUCAGUGGAUAGUUCUCAAAGCUAGUAGCAGAAUAUUGAUGAUGAUGAGUAUGUAUACAAUUCUUUGUUUAUUAUUAUUAUUUUUUUUGGGUACAUCUGGUUGGGACAGUGAUGUGAUCAA